rnacentral:rRNA from 1 species
UACGUAGGGUGCAAGCGUUGUCCGGAAUUAUUGGGCGUAAAGAGCUCGUAGGCGGUCUGUCACGUCGGCUGUGAAAACCUGGGGCUCAACUCCGGGCCUGCAGCCGAUACGGGCAGACUAGAGUUCGGUAGGGGAGACUGGAAUUCCUGGUGUAGCGGUGAAAUGCGCAGAUAUCAGGAGGAACACCGGUGGCGAAGGCGGGUCUCUGGGCCGAUAUUGACGCUGAGGAGCGAAAGCGUGGGGAGCGAACAGG